CCUUGUCGGCUGCUUCUAAAGGCUGGUUCUGCUGCUUGGGGGUGCCCAAACCAGCUUUGCAUCAGGGGACCUUUGCGGGACAAGGGGCAGGAGUGUGUGAGAAACUUGAAGAAAGAGAAGCAGAAGGCCCUACACAGCAAUGGAUUAACACCAAAAGAGGCUGGAUGCUGGACAUGAGGAAAGAAAGCGAUCCGUGACAAUAAAUGGAGUUGCAAGUGUU